CAUAUUGUGUAUCUAUACUCUUGAACGACUAGCAACGCACAAACGUCUUCUGUGCGACAACAUCUGAAUGUUUGUCACAGGACUUUUGAGCGUUGCCAGUCGAAAGAGGAA
rnacentral:pre_miRNA from 15 species